AUUGAACGCUGGCGGCAUGCCUUACACAUGCAAGUCGAACGGCAGCACGGGAGCAAUCCUGGUGGCGAGUGGCGAACGGGUGAGUAAUAUAUCGGAACGUGCCCAGUCGUGGGGAUAACGUAGCGAAAGCUACGCUAAUACCGCAUACGAUCUAUGGAUGAAAGCGGGGGAUCGCAAGACCUCGCGCGAUUGGAGCGGCCGAUAUCAGAUUAGGUAGUUGGUGAGGUAAAGGCUCACCAAGCCGACGAUCUGUCGCUGGUCUGAGAGGACGACCAGCCACACUGGGACUGAGACAGGCCCAGACUCCUACGGAGGCAGCAGUGGGAAUUUUGGACAAUGGGCGCAAG
rnacentral:rRNA from 1 species